AGUGAACGCUGGCGGUAGGCCUAACACAUGCAAGUCGAACGGCAGCACAGGAGAGCUUGCUCUCUGGGUGGCGAGUGGCGGACGGGUGAGGAAUACAUCGGAAUCUACUCUGUCGUGGGGGAUAACGUAGGGAAACUUACGCUAAUACCGCAUACGAACUACGGGUGAAAGCAGGGGACCUUCGGGCCUUGCGCGAUUGAAUGAGCCGAUGUCGGAUUAGCUAGUUGGCGGGGUAAAGGACCACCAAGGCGACGAUCCGUAGCUGGUCUGAGAGGAUGAUCAGCCACACUGGAACUGAGACACGGUCCAGACUCCUACGGGAGGCAGCAGUGGGGAAUAUUGGACAAUGGGCGCAAGCCUGAUCCAGCCAUACCGCGUGGGUGAAGAAGGCCUUCGGGUUGUAAAGCCCUUUUGUUGGGAAAGAAAUCCAGCUGGCUAAUACCCGGUUGGGAUGACGGUACCCAAAGAAUAAGCACCGGCUAACUCCGGGCCAGCCGCCGCCGUAA
rnacentral:rRNA from 1 species